GCAGGACAGCAUUGCUCAGUGUGUGUUUUAGUAAAGCAAGCAGGUUUCUUCUCAGGCGUCCUUACAGAGAAAGUCACUUUGCUACUAAGGUGAACCACUGCAACAACAGCUUGGAGUUUUUGGGAUUUCUUUACAAAGAUAUUUGUUCACAUUUAAAGAAAGGAGUCUUCUGAUUCAGGAGACUGCUUUAAUGCAAUAAUGGCCUACCGCGUUUCUGUUGAUUUGAUCUGAAACUCUCCAUGUAACUGCAUUCAGGUCAGAUGACUUCCUUCUGACUCCACAGCACUUCUUGCUCCUAUCCAACUUGCUGGACAAGCGGGUACAAAGGCUGCUGAGAAGGGCAGAAGAAUGAGGUAACACAGAAUACUAGCUACACAGAAAAACAGUUAACUACGACAGUAAUAUGGUUAUCUGACCAAGUAAUAUGGAGAUCUGACCAGGAUAUGUGUCAGUAAACUGAUCAUGGAGGAAUCUGCUGCUAACAACUGAAAAUAUUUAUCCAGGCUGAUAGAUGUGUCAGAUGGACUAUGAACCUCUGAAAUAAGCCAACCUCCAUGAGGGAAGAAAACAAUCAGUCACUUUUCUGCAAGAUUCAGAUCACAGUGUGACUGCACAAACUGGCAUGACUCGACUGCUGGAACAAUUGAAAGUGUGGGAACAUGUGUGGUAUUGUCACUAAACACACUGUCAUGUCAAAUCAUAGCCUCAAGCAAAGGACUGAAGGAUGUGAUUUGGACCUGGAUCUCUCUCAUCAUGACUGAGAUUUACAAGAUGCGUAGAGGAGGCUACAUGCCUUCUUCCAGAAGCUUUGUGAAUCAACUUUCAGGAUGUUUUUUUCCAUGUCUUAAUAAUAAAAAUGAAAUAA
ensembl:lncRNA